rnacentral:rRNA from 1 species
UGGGGGAUAUUGCACAAUGGGCGAAAGUCUGACGGAGCAACGCCGCGUGAGUGAAGAAGGUUUUCGGAUCGUAAAACUCUGUUGUCAGAGAAGAACAAGUUGGAGAGUAACUGCUCCAGCCUUGACGGUAUCUGACCAGAAAGCCACGGCUAACUACGUGCCAGCAGCCGCGGUAAUACGUAGGUGGCAAGCGUUGUCCGGAUUUAUUGGGCGUAAAGCGAGCGCAGGCGGUUCCUUAAGUCUGAUGUGAAAGCCCACGGCUCAACCGUGGAAGGUCAUUGGAAACUGGGGAACUUGAGUGCAGAAGAGGAGAGUGGAAUUCCAUGUGUAGCGGUGAAAUGCGUAGAUAUAUGGAGGAACACCAGUGGCGAAGGCGACUCUCUGGUCUGUAACUGACGCUGAGGCUCGAAAGCGUGGGGAGCAAACA